rnacentral:tRNA from 1 species
GGCUCAUUGGUGGAAUGGUAGACACGGCAGACUCAAAACCUGCUGCAGCGAUGCGUAUCGGUUCAAGUCCGAUAUGAGCCACCA